GACGAACGCUGGCGGCGUGCUUAACACAUGAAAGUCGAACGGAAAGGCCCAGCUUGCUGGGUACUCGAGUGGCGAACGGGUGAGUAACACGUGGGUGAUCUGCCCUGCACUCUGGGAUAAGCCUGGGAAACUGUGUCAAAUACCGGAUAUGAUCAACUGUCGCAUGGUGGUUGGUGGAAAGCUUUUGCGGUGUGGGAUGGGCCCGCGGCCUAUCAGCUUGUUGGUGGGGUAAUGGCCUACCAAGGCGACGACGGGUAGCCGACCUGAGAGGGGGAUCGGCGACACUGGGACUGAGGCACGGCCCAGACUCCAACGGGAGGCAGCAGUGGGGAAUAUUGCACAAUGGGCGCAAGCCUGAUGCAGCGACGCCGCGUGAGGGAUGACGGCCUUCGGGUUGUAAACCUCUUUCACCAGGGACGAAGCGUGAGUGACGGUACCUGGAGAAGAAGCACCGGCCAACUACGUGCCAGCCGCCGCCGUAA
rnacentral:rRNA from 1 species